UCUAUAAAUCAUUAUUUAAACUAAAUUUUGCUUUUCUGUUUGGAAACAACGUAUUCGUCCUUUGCACAGUUCGAAUUUGGCAAUAGUAAAUAAGUUUCUACUUUGAAAAUGUCUGUGGGUUCCCGAUCGUGGAAGGUAAUUAAGCCUCAUAUUCCACUUAUCAAGUUCAGAAAAGGUGGAAGGGACCAAGGUAUAAGUCAUAAACAGACUUCUGUUAGCCAGAAUUCAGCUUCAUGUAGUCAAAAAGGACCUGUAAUAGAUGAGACAGAAUUACCUGCUAGGUAUUCUAGAAAGCUUCUUUCUCAAGAAGAAAUUGAAACAAUAGAAGGGGAAAAAAAAAAAAUUCUCAGACUAUCACGAUUUAUAAGCCAGCAGUCAUUUCUUCUAAAUUUAAAUUGGUAAUCUAAGAUGUGGAAAAAUCCAGAAUCACCGAAGUCCCAACAAUUCCGGAUCUCAGACUUUUUACUGUAUAUAAUAUUUUGAAUCUGGAAAAUAAACAAGAGAGGAGGUCCAGAAUAGAUUUACAUAUUUUAUAAAUCCCUGGCUGUAAAUAAAUUUAUUAUGCAACACUUUCCUGAAACCCAAAAUAGUAUUGGAAAUGGAACAGGAUGUUUACUUUCGGAAAGUAGUUUUAAUAAACGAUUUGAUACUUCUGAUCUGAUUUGAUUAAAUUCACUAGCUGUGAUGCUGAAGUUUCAGUGCAUUAUACUUGGAAUUUAGUUUUGUAAAUAAUGAGUAAAUAAUUUUAAUUUAUUUAUGUGGUAGAUGAAUUUAUAUGUUAGCAAAUAAUGUCACAUAUAUACAGAUUUCUUGUAUAAUAUUUAACUGAUUUCAUUAUUGGUUUUAAUUUGAUUAAGAUGACAUUCUCUCAGAAGAUAUUAUAUAAUGUUAGAUCUAUGUAAUUAAUUUUGAAUUUCACAUUUUUUAAAAUAAGAUAUUUUGGCUGAUAAUGCAUAAAAUUACAGAAAUUUUCAAAGGAAAGCAUAUUACAAAUGAAAUAGCCACAAAUAUCUAUUUGGAUCAUGGCUUCAUAUCACCUAAAAUCAGAAAUCUAGGGAAAGAUAACCUUGCAGAUAAAGAAAUGUGCCUUAUAUGAAAGGUAGCAUUUUUUUUUUAACAUUCAGUAGAAUUUGGGAGCUGUACCCAUGUUUGUUUCUUUUUUCUGUAUGCAUGCUUGAAAUUGAAUUAACAUGUAUGGAAGAAAAAUUUGAGGUACACUUUAUCUUAUAAAAUUAUUUAACACGUUUA